rnacentral:lncRNA from 1 species
AGGCUGGCAACGCACUAGCACAAACGUAGUAAUGAAAAACACUUUUUUUUAGGAUUAUAUGAUAUAGCCCCUCAAUAAAUUAAAACACUUCAAGCAUCGAUAAGAGUUUCACUUUUAUGAUGUGUGCUGUCGAGUUUCCCUAUAAAGGGAAUAACACAGUGGCGAAGCCAGAAGAUUUGAGGAGCCCGGGCAAUUCUCAUUAAACAAAAAUAUUUAACUAUAAAAUCACAGAAUUCUAUAUAAAUAUAAACAAGAUUUCUUUUAUAUUUUGGCGGAGAGUGGCUCCGCCAGUGGAAUAACAAGCUGUAACACGUCAAGUUUCCAGGUUUGAACUCAAUACGUACACACGAUUCCUUCAUCUAAAAAACCUACACGCGACUCCAUUUUGGGAGUCACUUUGGGUUCACGUUUUAGAACCUCAAAGGCCAUAGUUGUGACCUGCAGUGUGAGCAGGGUUAUUUCCGAAGAAAAUACAGAUUGGAAUUUUGUGAAUAUGAUUUCCUAUUUUUCUUUUCAGAAUGUUGACUGGACAUCAUUCUAUCGAGAACAUUUUGAUGGAACUUCGAUCGUCUGGACUCUGGAGAUGGCCCACCAAAAGAAAGAGGGG